rnacentral:rRNA from 1 species
AGUUUGAUCCUGGCUCANAAUGAACGCUGGCGGCCUGCCUAACACAUGCAAGUCGGAUGUGCCGCAAGGUGCAUGGCAGACGGGUGAGUAACGCGUGGGGAAUCUACCUCUUUGUGGGGAAUAACGCUCCGAAAGGAGUGGUAAUACCGCAUGAGACCAAUGGCUGGAAUGUUGUUNGUGAAACCUGGGGACCCCAAGGNCUGGGGCAAGGAGAGGAUNCUGCGUCUGAUUAGCUAGUUGGCGGGGUAACGGCCCACCAAGGCGACGAUCAGUAUNCCGGCCUGAGAGGGUGAUCCGCCACACUGGAACUGANACACUGUCCCCACUCCUANNGNANGCANCAGUGGGGAAUUUUGCNCNNUGGGCGAAAGCCNGACNCACCCNCNCCGCGUGGGUGAUGANGGUCUUCCGAUCCUAAAACCCUGNCCUCANGGACGAAGGUACGGGUGUUAACAGCAUUCUUGCUUNACCGNACCUGGANGGGAAGCCCCGGCUAACUC